GAUGAACGCUGGCGGCGUGCCUAAUACAUGCAAGUCGAGCGAGCAGACGAGGAGCUUGCUCCUCUGACGUUAGCGGCGGACGGGUGAGUAACACGUGGAUAACCUACCUAUAAGACUGGGAUAACUUCGGGAAACCGGAGCUAAUACCGUAUAACAUGUUGAACCGCAUGGUUCAACAGUGAAAGACGGUCUUGCUGUCACUUAUAGAUGGAUCCGCGCCGCAUUAGCUAGUUGGUAAGGUAACGGCUUACCAAGGCAACGAUGCGUAGCCGACCUGAGAGGGUGAUCGGCCACACUGGAACUGAGACACGGUCCAGACUCCUACGGGAGGCAGCAGUAGGGAAUCUUCCGCAAUGGGCGAAAGCCUGACGGAGCAACGCCGCGUGAGUGAAGAAGGUCUUCGGAUCGUAAAACUCUGUUAUUAGGGAAGAACAAAUGUGUAAGUAACUAUGCACGUCUUGACGGUACCUAAUCAGAAAGCCACGGCUAACUACGUG
rnacentral:rRNA from 1 species